rnacentral:misc_RNA from 1 species
UUUCCGUAGGUGAACCUGCGGAAGGAUCAUUACAGAAUUAAUGCCCCAAAGGGUAGACCUCCCACCCUUGUUUAUUAUUACUUUGUUGCUUUUUCUAGUUCAAGCUCUCCAGAGAAUACCAAAACUCUUUUUAUUAAUGUCUUCUUAGUACUAUAUAAUAAUUAAAACUUUCAACAACGGAUCUCUUGGUUCUG